UGAGUUGCAGCUUGAUUAUGUAGGUCUAUAUCUAAUCCACUGGCCAGUAAGCAUGGAGAAGGAUUCUAUUGGCUAUAAACCUGAAAACCUUACCCUACCUGACAUUCUGGCUUCUUGCAGAGAAAUGAGGCACUUUAUGAAUCAGCAACUUCUCAUCAAAGUAAGCUUGGAGAUCUUCUAGCAGUAGCAUGUGUCUGUCCUGCUGUGAACCAAAUGGAAUGUCACCCGGUAUGGCUACAGCCAAAGCUUCAUUCAUUUUGUCAAUCCGAGGGAGUUCACUUAUCUGGGUAUGCACCAUUAGGUUCUGAAGGUUCGCAGGAGAUCAAGACUGAGGUUCUCAAGAAUCCAAUUCUUAAAGUGAUUGCAGAGAAAUUAGGCAAAUCCCCUGCACAAGUGGCUCUCCGGCGGCGACUACAAAUGGGCCAUAGUGUGUGCUACCUAAGAGCAUAAACAAGGCAAGAGUCAUAGAAAAUGUUGACAAUUCUCAAGAAUGUUGACCUCACUUGUUUCUUUGCUCCGGUGGAGAGCUGAAACUCUCAAAUAUGAGGCUUGUCUCAUUGAUGAUCUUAUGGCAUGUUUCACAAAUGUGUAUCUCAUUUAUAUACUAGUUUCUUUAUGUUACACAUGACAUA